rnacentral:misc_RNA from 1 species
AACGCACCUUGCGCCCUUUGGCUAUUCCGAAGGGCAUGCCUGUUUGAGUAUCAUGAACACCUCAACUCUCAUGGUUUUUCCAUGACGAGCUUGGACUUUGGGGGUCUUGCUGGCCUGUGGUCGGCUCCUCUUAAAUGAAUCAGCUUGCCAGUGUUUGGUGGCAUCGCAGGUGUGAUAACUAUCUACGCUUGUGGUUUCCCAUCAGGUAACCUUCAGUGAUGGAGGUUCGCUGGAGCUCAUAAAGGUCUCUCCUCAGUGAGGAGGGGGCUUCUUUUGAAUGUUUGAUCUCAAAUCAGGUAGGACUACCCGCUGAACUUAA